rnacentral:tRNA from 1 species
GGGAAGAGACCAUGGCCUAGAGGUAGAGCACCUGCUUGGCAUAGAGGAGGUGCCAGGUUCAAUCCCUGGCAACCCCA